rnacentral:rRNA from 1 species
GUGUAGGUGUGUGUUCCAGGUAAAUCCGGUUCACUUUAACACUGAGGCGUGAUGACGAGGCACUACGGUGCUGAAGCAACAAAUGCCCUGCUUCCAGGAAAAGCCUCUAAGCAUCAGGUAACAUCAAAUCGUACCCCAAACCGACACAGGUGGUCAGGUAGAGAAUACCAAGGCGCUUGAGAGAACUCGGGUGAAGGAACUAGGCAAAAUGGUGCCGUAACUUCGGGAGAAGGCACGCUGACACGUAGGUGAAGUGAUUUACUCAUGGAGCUGAAGUCAGUCGAAGAUACCAGCUGGCUGCAACUGUUUAUUAAAAACACAGCACUGUGCAAACACGAAAGUGGACGUAUACGGUGUGACGCCUGCCCGGUGCCGGAAGGUUAAUUGAUGGGGUCAGCGCAAGCGAAGCUCCUGAUCGAAGCCCCGGUAAACGGCGGCCGUAACUAUAACGGUCCUAAGGUAGCGAAAUUCCUUGUCGGGUAAGUUCCGACCUGCACGAAUGGCGUAAUGAUGGCCAGGCUGUCUCCACCCGAGACUCAGUGAAAUUGAACUCGCUGUGAAGAUGCAGUGUACCCGCGGCAAGACGGAAAGACCCCGUGAACCUUUACUAUAGCUUGACACUGAACAUUGAGCCUUGAUGUGUAGGAUAGGUGGGAGGCUUUGAAGUGUGGACGCCAGUCUGCAUGGAGCCGGCCUUGAAAUACCACCCUUUAAUGUUUGAUGUUCUAACGUGGACCCGUGAUCCGGGUUGCGGACAGUGUCUGGUGGGUAGUUUGACUGGGGCGGUCUCCUCCUAAAGAGUAACGGAGGAGCACGAAGGUUGGCUAAUCCUGGUCGGACAUCAGGAGGUUAGUGCAAUGGCAUAAGCCAGCUUGACUGCGAGCGUGACGGCGCGAGCAGGUGCGAAAGCAGGUCAUAGUGAUCCGGUGGUUCUGAAUGGAAGGGCCAUCGCUCAACGGAUAAAAGGUACUCCGGGGAUAACAGGCUGAUACCGCCCAAGAGUUCAUAUCGACGGCGGUGUUUGGCACCUCGAUGUCGGCUCAUCACAUCCUGGGGCUGAAGUAGGUCCCAAGGGUAUGGCUGUUCGCCAUUUAAAGUGGUACGCGAGCUGGGUUUAGAACGUCGUGAGACAGUUCGGUCCCUAUCUGCCGUGGGCGCUGGAGAACUGAGGGGGGCUGCUCCUAGUACGAGAGGACCGGAGUGGACGCAUCACUGGUGUUCGGGUUGUCAUGCCAAUGGCACUGCCCGGUAGCUAAAUGCGGAAGAGAUAAGUGCUGAAAGCAUCUAAGCACGAAACUUGCCCCGAGAUGAGUUCUCCCUGAGACUUUAGGUCUCCUGAAGGAACGUUGAAGACGACGACGUUGAUAGGCCGGGUGUGUAAGCGCAGCGAUGCGUUGAGCUAACCGGUACUAAUGAACCGUGAGGCUUAACCUU